rnacentral:misc_RNA from 1 species
GUGAAUCAUCGAAUUUUUGAACGCACAUUGCACUCUUUGGUAUUCCGGAGAGUAUGCCUGUUUGAGGGUCAGUUUAAACAUCAAUCGGUGUGGCUGGUGCUUUUCGUGGUGAAGUUGAGGGUGUGGGUUGUGCUGUCUUCGGUUAAGUGACCUCAAAUUUUGCAUGUUUUAUUUGAACGUAUUUAAAUGAUAUUACGUACGUUUGCGAUAUCGAAUACUAGAUGCGGUCAUCCUCAUGAUUUGCGCAUAUAAUUACUUAUCAAAAU